GAUGAACGCUGGCGGCGUGCCUAAUACAUGCAAGUCGAGCGAACAGACGAGGAGCUUGCUCCUCUGACGUUAGCGGCGGACGGGUGAGUAACACGUGGAUAACCUACCUAUAAGACUGGGAUAACUUCGGGAAACCGGAGCUAAUACCGGAGAAUAUAUUGAACCGCAUGGUUCAAUAGUGAAAGACGGUUUUGCUGUCACGUAUAGAUGGAUCCGCGCCGCAUUAGCUAGUUGGUAAGGUAACGGCUUACCAAGGCAACGAUGCGUAGCCGACCUGAGAGGGUGAUCGGCCACACUGGAACUGAGACACGGUCCAGACUCCUACGGGAGGCAGCAGUACGGAAUCUUCCGCAAUGGGCGAAAGCUUGACGGAGCAACGCCGCGUGAGUGAUGAGGGUCUUCGGAUCCUAGAACUCUGUUAUUAGUGAAGAACAAAUGUGUAAGUAACUAUGCACGUCUUGACGGUACCUCAUCAGAAAGCCACGGCUAACUACGUG
rnacentral:rRNA from 1 species